rnacentral:rRNA from 1 species
UACGUAGGGAGCAAGCGUUGUCCGGAUUACUGGGUGUAAAGGGUGCGUAGGCGGCUAGGCAAGUCAGGUGUGAAAUGCAUGGGCUCAACCCAUGAACUGCACUUGAAACUGUCAGGCUUGAGUGAAGUAGAGUCAGGCGGAAUUCCCCGUGUAGCGGUGAAAUGCGUAGAGAUAGGGAGGAACACCAGUGGCGAAGGCGGCCUGCUGGGCUUUAACUGACGCUGAGUCACGAAAGCGUGGGUAGCAGACA